UCAGUUUUCGCCGCAGAACGGGGAUUACGCGGCUCCAUCUCAAUAAAUUAGAACGUGCCGGAAAAGUAGUACAUUAUUUAUUGAUUCAUUAAACCUGCGGUAAAACAUUUUUUGAGGGCUAAUUGCGCAUUAUUUCUACAUUUCAUUCACUGUAUUUUAGGUGAUAAUCUAGAUAUGGCGAAUUUGGGGGAUUUGUAAUCAUCUGUACUGUAAACUGUAAUCUUCAAAACGAUAUAUACAGUAUUUUUUUGGACCUGGCUUGGGCGCUAGCAACCAGCUAACGCUAGCCAGCGAGGCCUGUGUGUUGGACCACGGCGGAGAAGACAAGGGCGCUAGCGUCGAGCUAACGCGGCUAGCGAGGCCUGUGUUUGGACUUCAAGGGAGAAAGAAAGGACGAGGACCCUGAGGACGCCGGAGAGAGGGAAAACCACCUUCGCCUUUCUUCACUCCUGCCUUGGGAAGCACCGCAGUGACAUUGGGAAGCUCCUCGGGGCCGCAGCCUCCACGUUCCCCGCGGUGAGGUGUCUGGCUCGGCGGUGCUCGAUCCGGGCGAAUCCAUCAUCCCGAGGAAUAUCCGGAAAUACAAAGAGCCGGCGUUUUGGCUAACACCAAGGAACAAAGAGCUACCUUCCCGCAGCAAUACGCCGGCCGAGCUUCUCUCUGGAACUCGCAUCUCGCGUCGACGCUUUGCUCUCCGACGUCGCUACUACUCACCCGCAUAGAUGACGAGGUGAAAGGAAAGAGAAUAGAAGCCUUCCCUCGUCUCCUUUCAUUUUUUUUUUUUUUUUUUUUUUUGAAAGCCGGCCUUUGUGGAGCGGGCCCCGGGAGCGGCUCCAGUGUCUCCGAACGCAGCCUUUUCAUCGCGGAACGAGUCGGGAAUCUCACUGGGCCUAUUCAUGCGCUGCCAGGGCCUUCGUCAGGACGGCGAAGGCGACGCGGAGACGACCGCCGAGUGAAAGUCAUGCUGGGGGGGGGGGUUUGGAUGUCAUUUCGAAUCUCGAAGCCUGUUCUUCGGGGGUCAGAAAUAAGACAGACCAAGACACCGGGUUGUUGGUGAAGUGUGGCCUCAAAAGAGAGCAACU